GGACGAACCUCUGGAGAGACCAUUGAUUGGCGCCGAAGGGGCAAAUUUCUUUUUUUAGAAAUAAUCUCUCAGGCAAAAGGACAGAGAUAAUGCA
rnacentral:ncRNA from 1 species